CAUAUCUUACAUCGCUGCCUGGUAUGUGAAAUUCGUAGAGGCCGGGGUGCUCGCGCCGUUCCGCCUUGGGAGACGCUAGCAAAGGUAACUUCCAGUUUCUUUGCGCUUAUUUUUUUGCACAGAAAUUCUCGCUGAUCAGUGGCAUCUUGUUUGCUGGUGGGAGCGCAAGCUUGCAAGAUGGUCCUAAGUACCGCGCCAGCGAGUUUCUCUUUGUUCUUCCCUCUUGCUUUAGCUUUGGAAUGCUUCUUGUUCGUUCUUCGUCCAGGAGUAUUCACUUUGGAACUAGAGUAUUUGAUUGUUUAUUUUGAUCUUGUAGAGGGCACUGGAAGCAAAUGAUAGGACGUGCUUGGGUCUGGAACUUCUAGCUGUGAUCGUCAGUGGCAACCAUUCCAUCCUGAACGAUUACAACGCAUACCACGAAGCUGCUGGAGAGCUAAACUUCGUGGGCGACUGGGCCAAAGAGCUCAGCAUGUUCUGGUUUCCUAAGGGCAUUCCGGAUAAGGUGGAGCACGAGAAGCUUGCGGAAUCACAUUCUAAGGUUUAGUUUGUGUUUUCUUCUUUGGCUUGGAUUGCAGAAAGGUCUUGUUGUAUUAUGAAACAGUGUUGUGUUAUUGUUAUGACGGUUAAUACAUGGUUAAUUGUAUGGGUUUAUAGUGAUGA